AGGGGACAGGAAGCCAUGUCAGGGGACAGGAAGCCAUGUCAGGGGACAGGAAGCCAUGUCAGGGGACAGGAAGCCAUGUCAGGGGACAGGAAGCCAUGUCAGGGGACAGGAAGCCAUGUCAGGGGACAGGAAGCCAUGUCAGGGGACAGGAAGCCAUGUCAGGGGACAGGAAGCCAUGUCAGGGGACAGGAAGCCAUGUCAGGGGACAGGAAGCCAUGUCAGGGGACAGGAAGCCAUGUCAGGGGACAGGAAGCCAUGUCAGGGGACAGGAAGCCAUGUCAGGGGACAGGAAGCCAUGUCAGGGGACAGGAAGCCAUGUCAGGGGACAGGAAGCCAUGUCAGGGGACAGGAAGCCAUGUCAGGGGACAGGAAGCCAUGUCAGGGGACAGGAAGCCAUGUCAGGGGACAGGAAUAGAAUGCUUUUGUGUGUUUGGCAGAGAGGAUUUGAUGUUAACUUUGACACUCACC